UCAAACAAUGUAUCAUACAAAGUAUGGCUACUCAAAUCCAAUUACAACCAUUAUCCAAUUACAAGCAUUAUCAACCAAUUUAUACUGAUCCAAAAAUUGGUUAAGAAUAUCAAACAAUAAUCAUAUACUGUAUAUGAUAUACAUAUAACAUAUUCUUAACAAUACACAAAUGUGUUUAUGUCAACAAAAAAAAACACAAAUGUAGAAGUAUCAUUCACUUUUACUUAUAAGCACAAAAUGAAAGAACCUAUUUGGUCAUAAUUAAGAGACUUGAACAGUGACACUCAUGUACUUGUUUUCCUUUUCUUAAUGUCUCCAUUGUAUUACUUCCUCCAGAUCAACAACCUGCAUUAAAUCAACAACCUGCAAAAUGGUCAAGACAAAAUUCAAAUCACAAUUUCACAAAUCAUAAUCAAUUUAGCAGACUCAAGUAAUUAUUAGGAAAAUCAUAAUCAAUUUAAAGAGUAUAUAUAUUAAAAAGUUUGAAGAACUGAACAUGCCUCAAUAUAAGACUAGCAUGGAUGACAUAGAAAAAGAGAAAGAGUGAAUAACAGAGCUUUUUUACCAAUAACCAAAUUCUUCCUUACGAACAUUCAACUCCAAACCAAUUACAAGGGUCAACACCAAAUUCAUCAUCAACCCAAUUUGACAAAGCAACAAAAGGGUCACUCAUAAUUCCUUGCUUGAACUUCAAAAGUGCUUUACCUACAAAAACAACAUAAACUUUUCAGCUUUUGUUUCAUUCCAUCCAAAAUUAACCUGCAAAAUUAGAACUAGAAGCAAAAGAAGCCAAAGAAUAUGAAUUAGAACUAGAAGCCAAAGAAUAUCAAUUGUAUUACACGCUCUUCCCUUUUAAUAUUUGGAUUCAACCUUAUCUGUUUUCAGAUUUCUAGAACACAUGCACUUGAAAUGAUGCAUUGUGGUGUGAAUUGGAAUAAAAAAUGAAAGCAGUCAUCUAGCUAUAAAUCAUUAUGUAUAUAUACCUUAAAAGUGUAGCCAUUUCCUUCAGACUUGUGUAUUUGCUUUUCUUUUCAUCUCUAUAAGUUCUGGAUCAUCAAAAAUAUUAAAAGUUUGACUCCCUAGUUGGUGAGGCACUAGUAGGAUCAUCAAAAAUAGAAAAAAUAAAAGCUUCAUCAAAGAUGCGAAAACAGAACAACAACUUAAAGAUAUACUAAUUAAAUUACCCUCACCUCCACCUCGAUCUUGUGGAAAGUAAAACAAUGGCAUAACCUUACUCUCACCUCCUCCUUGAUCCUAACAACAUAUAUGGUUCUGCCUCACACUUCUAGCAUUCAUGCUCUUCUGAAUGCUGCACAUCCAUAAUAUAUAAUCAGUGGUGAGCAAUCAAGUGUAAAAACUACAGAGUAGGAAAUCUUAACAGAGGCAUAAGGCAUGCCAAAUCAUACAAAUCAGAGUGAAUUUGUCCCCCAAUGCAACACAAACCAAAUCAAGAACUAAUUCCAAUCCUCGGUCUCCUGUUUUAACUGUUGAAAGAAUAGAGAUUUUAAAAAUAGCAUUGAAAAUUUAAUCGAAAAACAUCAUGUAUCCAGUGAAGAAAGUAACUUGAACCAUGUGUGCACGAAAUUCAGCAUAAAUGUUUGGCUGCAAAUGUGUAAUUACAAGUUNNNNNNNNNNNNNNAAAACAAAAAAAAAAAACAAACUAAUAUUUAGGUUGUGGAAUGUAAGUCCUACAGCAGGAGCUUCUUCAAUUAUCUUUUGGUGUCUUUCAUUUUACAUUAAUUCUCUUUUUUUUUUGUACAUUUAUUAAAAUUACUUCCCUAGUGUACAACUUCAAUAUACACCCGAAAUCAAAUCUGGAACAAUCGGGACAUAAUUGUAAUACCUCACAUGAGGAGUGCUAGCAACACACUCUUUAACAAACACACUCCAACACACUCUCUUUUAUUGGUUGAAAUUCACAUGGGUCCCAUAAAANNNNNNNNNNNNNNNNNNNNNNNNNNNNNNNNNNNNNNNNNNNNNNNNNNNNNNNNNNNNNNNNNNNNNNNNNNNNNNNNNNNNNNNNNNNNNGGGUGGGUGCGUAAAGAAAAAACGAUCCUAGGCCAUUUACUUGAAAAAAAAUGAGUUGGGCUUGCAAAACGGUCCGGGUCCGGGUCGGGUUAUCCAAAAUAAACAAAAGAAAAGAAGGAAACAUGUGUUUUCAUUCCAACCUUCCUCACGCGUGUUUUCAUUCAAACCUAAAACAAAAUCACGCAGCUUUCUUCACGCCUUUAAUUGUGAAUGAUGCAUAGGCCUCUAGUUACUUGUUUUAUGAACUUAGUACUUGGUUGGUUACGAAGUUAUGAACAUCUGGAAUGAUGUCUAUGAAAUAUUAAUUUAGUUUAUUUUAUUCAUGUAAUAUUAUUAUUAUUUUUGUGUUUUUGUGUAUAUGUAUAUAUGUGAAGUUACCAUUUUACCCUUGAGUAGGUUCUUACGAAUCGAGCUACGAUCCCGACCUUACGACUCUCCACCAGCCUACGGAUCCUACGUAGGAUCCCGAACCUGACUAGAUUGGUCAGAGCCCAUUCCAUUAUGGAUUUCAAGAUAAUUACAUACAUAAAGCAAGUAUAGACAAAUUAUGUGAAAAAACUCCAAGGAUCCACAAACAACAAACAAAUGAACGAUUUUACAAAUUGAUGAACAGUCCAAAUAACUUACAAAACAAUACUACAUCAACUAACUUCAGUGUUCCAUAAAAAAAUCAUAAUAAGCACAAGAUUAAUGUCAAAACAUAGCAUAAAACGUGACAAUUAAGAAAUUAAAUAAGUGGUACAGGCACAAAACUAAACAAAGAAAAGUCAAUCAUUAGAAAAGGAUUUUCACCUUUGUAAACCAGCACCUCAUACCUUAACUGAUAUGCUCACUCGAACAAAUGAUGCAUUGGAAAUUGGACCUAUGCAAAUAUGUUGCAGCAUGUCCUCCAAACUCAAAAUCUAAGAUUGUCUAAGAGAAUUAGUAACGGUAGAAACACCAGGUAAAAGUAAAUCACAAAACAAUUCUAUUAGGCUCUUGAAUCAAAAGAUGAAGAGACAAAAUCAUUUUUAACCAUCACAGUAAAGUGCACAAUAUUUUAUCUACAGGUUUUAAGUUGUAAACUAAUGCACACAAAAGGCAUAUCAUUGUUACACAUCACAAGUUUACAAUCCAAGUUUACACAUUCCUCAAACAAUGAUAGACAUUCACUUGAAAAUCUAUAUUAGGUGAAACACAAUGAAGUAAACUAACCGAUAAACAUGCCGUUCAACGCAAUAGAAAGGUACUUAAUUAGCACAGUGCAGAAGCAUAAAAGGACAUGAUGUGAUGAAAACAAGAAUUGAUUGCUUAACUUUAUAAAUUCAUUUCAGUCACAAUUUAUAGUUUAUAGCUUAAUUAGAACCAUAAAAUUAUGCGUACCUUGUGUUACUUUACCGAGCAAAGCAAAGCCAAAAAAAAAUCGUGAAAAAGCUGUAAAAUUACACACAAAAGGAGUAAGGAGCAGCACAUAAUCAAGGCAAUAAGGUAAGUGAUUAGGCGUGUAAUUAAGUAUUACUAAAUGGAACAUACUCUUAGAAGAUUCAUCAAAAUACUCNNN
rnacentral:lncRNA from 1 species